UGAAUACGAGACGCUAAGGCGUCGAAGUAGUGUAUGUCAUACUUCCAAGAAAAGCUUGCACUGUCAUAAGUAAAAAAUGCCUGUACCAUAACCGACACAGGUGGGUAGGUAGAGUAUACUAAGGGGCGCGAGAUAACUCUCUCUAAGGAACUCGGCAAAAUAACUCCGUAACUUCGGGAGAAGGAGUACCUUAUUCUAUAAGGUUGCAAUAACAAGAUCCAAGCAACUGUUUAUCAAAAACACAGGUCUCCGCUAAGUCGUAAGACGAUGUAUGGGGGCUGACGCCUGCCCAGUGCCAGAAGGUUAAAGAAGUCGGUUAGCAUUAGCGAAGCUGGUAACUGAAGCCCUGGUGAACGGCGGCCGUAACGAUAACGGUCCUAAGGUAGCGAAAUUCCUUGUCGGGUAAGUUCCGACCCGCACGAAAGGCGUAAUGAUUUGGAUACUGUCUCGGAGAGGGGCUCGGUGAAAUAGACUUGUCUGUGAAGAUGCGGACUACCUGCACCAGGACAGAAAGACCCUAUGAAGCUUUACUGUAACUUGAAAUUGAAAUUGGACUUUAUUCGCGCAGUAUAGGUGGGAGGUGUUGAUUAUAAUCUUGCGGGAUUAUUGGAGCCAUCAGUGAGAUACCACUCUUGUAAUGUUAGAUUUCUAACUUUGAAUCAUUAUCUGGUCAAAGGACAGUUUCAGGCGGGCAGUUUGACUGGGGCGGUCGCCUCCCAAACGGUAACGGAGGCGUACAAAGGUUUCCUCUGAACGGGUAGAAAUCGUAUCUAGAGUGUAAAGGCAUAAGGAAGCUUGACUGUGAGACCUACAAGUCGAACAGGGACGAAAGUCGGUCUUAGUGAUCUGACGGUACUGAGUGGAAAGGCCGUCACUCAACGGAUAAAAGUUACUCUAAGGAUAACAGGCUGAUCUCCCCCAAGAGUUCACAUCGACGGGGAGGUUUGGCACCUCGAUGUCGGCUCAUCGCAUCCUGGGGCGGUAGUACGUCCCAAGGGUUGGGCUGUUCGCCCAUGAAAGCGGUACGCGAGCUGGGUUCAGAACGUCGUGAGGCAGUUCGGUCCAUAUCCGGUGUAGGCGUUAGAAUAUUGAGAGGAGCCUUCUUUAGUACGAGAGGACCGAGAAGGACAUACCUCUGGUGUACCAGUUAUCGUGCCAACGGUAAACGCUGGGUAGCUAUGUAUGGAGUGGAUAACCGCUGAAAGCAUCUAAGUGGGAAGCCCACCUCAAGAUAAGUA
rnacentral:rRNA from 1 species